CACGCAGCCCUCGCCUCCAGCUGCAGCAGGCUAAUAUAAAUAAUGAUUUAUUUAUGUGCAGGAGAGAAACUGCGGCGGAGCUGGAGGACAGCAGCCCACCUGAGAGGAGCUUCAGAGCGGCCCUGAGGAUCAUCUGGAGAAGAAGCUCCAGAAAGCAGACAGGAAGACCGGAAGAUCCAACGAGUCGGGAGGAGCAUGCAGGACCAGGAUAAAAAUGCAAUUCCAAAGCAGGAUUUCUGAUAAAAAAGAACAGCAGACACAAGAUGCCAACAGAGCAAUUCCGGGCAAAGAGAAGAGAAGAGCAGUGAAUUCAGGUCCUGAAACACCAGCCAGCGUUCUCAAAAACUAAGGUUCUACAAAGGGAUUUUUAAAUGGGAUGUGGGUGUGAAGAACUUUUUACCCUGUGCCUAACAACUUUCAGGACCUGAUGGAGCAAAUCAAGAUCUAAUCAUAUGGAACAUCAUGCUUAUGCACUUUCUGAAACCCUGCUGAUUAAGUGUCCUAAAAGAAACAAAGUAAAGAAAAACGUUUUUGCAAAA